rnacentral:lncRNA from 10 species
CCUCUCUAGCUUUUCUUUGGAAGGAGCAAGAAAAAAAUGAAGUACAAGAAACGGAAAGAACUAUUCCUUCCAGCCCAGAACACUGUCUCUGAACAGCAAGAUGGCUUUGAAACGCUUUCACAACGAAGGUGUGCUCCACUGGGCACCACAACAUACGGUUCAGACGUUUAAAGCCUGUCUCAGCCCAAUUUCCUCUCCAUUUGCUCCCUGGGUAAGGUAUCCCCCCUUCAGUGCAGGCAGAACUGGCGACUUGCUUCUAAUCAACAAAAUAUGGCAAAGUGGUGGAGUCUAGAAGUCUGAGAUCAGGGCACCAGCCUGGCCGAGUUCUGACACUUUAUUGCUAGCUGCCAG